GACGAACGCUGGCGGCGUGCUUAACACAUGCAAGUCGAACGGUGAAGCGCCUUCCUUUUUGGUGGGUGUGGAUGAGUGGCGAACGGGUGAGUAACACGUGAGUAACCUGCCCCCUUCUUCUGGAUAACCGCAUGAAAGUGUGGCUAAUACGGGAUAUUCUGGGUCUGUCGCAUGAUGGGUCUGGGAAAGAUAUUGUUUCGGUGGGGGAUGGGCUCGCGGCCUAUCAGCUUGUUGGUGGGGUGAUGGCCUACCAAGGCGGUGACGGGUAGCCGGCCUGAGAGGGUGGACGGUCACACUGGGACUGAGACACGGCCCAGACUCCUGCGGGAGGCAGCAGUGGGGAAUAUUGCACAAUGGGCGCAAGCCUGAUGCAGCGACGCCGCGUGAGGGAUGGAGGCCUUCGGGUUGUGAACCUCUUUCGCCAGUGAAGCAGGCCUGCCUCGUUUGUGGGUGGGUUGACGGUAGCUGGAUAAGAAGCGCCGGCUAACUACGUG
rnacentral:rRNA from 1 species